GUUAAUGUAAUUCAAAAAGAAUAUCAGAAUGUGAUCCUGAAAAUAAGAAUUCUUCUUCAUUAACC
rnacentral:tRNA from 1 species